rnacentral:misc_RNA from 1 species
GUGAAUCAUCAAAUCUUUGAACGCAAAUUGCACUCUCUUCUGAGAGUAUGCCUGUUUGUGGGUGAGCCUAAAUAAAAAUCGACUUUGUUGCUGUUUUGUGGUGACAUUCGUAGGAAAUUGGGUCAUCUUUAACCUUUGGGUUUUAUACGUCUUAAAAUUUUCUUUAUGAUUACACGUAAGUUUUUAAGUUUUUGAUUCUUAUAUGUUUUAGGUAUCGAUCUUUAUUACAUGCAGCUGUUGUAUCGAAUCAAG